AUUGAACGCUGGCGGCAUGCUUUACACAUGCAAGUCGAACGGUAACAGGCCGCAAGGUGCUGACGAGUGGCGAACGGGUGAGUAAUGCAUCGGAACGUGCCCAGUCGUGGGGGAUAACUACUCGAAAGAGUAGCUAAUACCGCAUACGAUCUAUGGAUGAAAGCGGGGGACCGUAAGGCCUCGCGCGAUUGGAGCGGCCGAUGUCAGAUUAGGUAGUUGGUGGGGUAAAGGCUCACCAAGCCAACGAUCUGUAGCUGGUCUGAGAGGACGACCAGCCACACUGGGACUGAGACACGGCCCAGACUCCUACGGGAGGCAGCAGUGGGGAAUUUUGGACAAUGGGCGCAAGCCUGAUCCAGCAAUGCCGCGUGCAGGAAGAAGGCCUUCGGGUUGUAAACUGCUUUUGUACGGAACGAAACGGCUCUGGUUAAUACACGGGGCUAAUGACGGUACCGUAAGAAUAAGCACCGGCUAACUACGUG
rnacentral:rRNA from 1 species